CGGUCCUAAAGACAGAGCGCAAAGACACCACGACCCUGGGGUAAUCCCAGGGUUCCAUGCGUAUCCUCUGCACAUUCAGCAUGGGCUCCUCGGUGCUUGUGUCUCCAUUUUUCUGUCGUUCUGCGAUAAUCAUGGCCCGGAGGAGAGGCGGGUACGGCACGGAGGCCAGGCUGUCUUCCGGCGCCGGCGUGAACGCGGUGAAGGCCUCCUCCUCGUGCUUGGGCACCAGCCGCCAGUCAUGGUACAUGACGUGUUCGAUCUCCCGCGCCUCGCUCUCAGUCUUCCCUG
rnacentral:lncRNA from 1 species